AUUGAACGCUGGCGGCAGGCUUAACACAUGCAAGUCGAACGAUGACUAACUAGCUUGCUAGUUAUGAUUAGUGGCGGACGGGUGAGUAACAUUUAGGAAUCUGCCUAGUAGUGGGGGAUAGCUCGGGGAAACUCGAAUUAAUACCGCAUACGACCUACGGGUGAAAGGGGGCGCAAGCUCUUGCUAUUAGAUGAGCCUAAAUCAGAUUAGCUAGUUGGUGGGGUAAAGGCCCACCAAGGCGACGAUCUGUAACUGGUCUGAGAGGAUGAUCAGUCACACCGGAACUGAGACACGGUCCGGACUCCUACGGGAGGCAGCAGUGGGGAAUAUUGGACAAUGGGGGAAACCCUGAUCCAGCCAUGCCGCGUGUGUGAAGAAGGCCUUUUGGUUGUAAAGCACUUUAAGCAGGGAGGAGAGGCUAAUGGUUAAUACCCAUUAGAUUAGACGUUACCUGCAGAAUAAGCACCGGCUAACUCUGUGCCAGCAGCCGCGGUAAUACAGAGGGUGCGAGCGUUAAUCGGAAUUACUGGGCGUAAAGCGAGUGUAGGUGGCUCAUUAAGUCACAUGUGAAAUCCCCGGGCUUAACCUGGGAACUGCAUGUGAUACUGGUGGUGCUAGAAUAUGUGAGAGGGAAGUAGAAUUCCAGGUGUAGCGGUGAAAUGCGUAGAGAUCUGGAGGAAUACCGAUGGCGAAGGCAGCUUCCUGGCAUAAUAUUGACACUGAGAUUCGAAAGCGUGGGUAGCAAACAGGAUUAGAUACCCUGGUAGUCCACGCCGUAAACGAUGUCUACUAGCUGUUGGGGUCCUUGAGACUUUAGUGGCGCAGUUAACGCGAUAAGUAGACCGCCUGGGGAGUACGGCCGCAAGGUUAAAACUCAAAUGAAUUGACGGGGGCCCGCACAAGCGGUGGAGCAUGUGGUUUAAUUCGAUGCAACGCGAAGAACCUUACCUGGUCUUGACAUAGUGAGAAUCCUGCAGAGAUGCGGGAGUGCCUUCGGGAAUUCACAUACAGGUGCUGCAUGGCUGUCGUCAGCUCGUGUCGUGAGAUGUUGGGUUAAGUCCCGCAACGAGCGCAACCCUUUUCCUUAUUUGCCAGCGGGUUAAGCCGGGAACUUUAAGGAUACUGCCAGUGACAAACUGGAGGAAGGCGGGGACGACGUCAAGUCAUCAUGGCCCUUACGACCAGGGCUACACACGUGCUACAAUGGUAGGUACAGAGGGUUGCUACACAGCGAUGUGAUGCUAAUCUCAAAAAGCCUAUCGUAGUCCGGAUUGGAGUCUGCAACUCGACUCCAUGAAGUCGGAAUCGCUAGUAAUCGCAGAUCAGAAUGCUGCGGUGAAUACGUUCCCGGGCCU
rnacentral:rRNA from 1 species